rnacentral:rRNA from 1 species
GACGGGACCGCACAAGCGGUGGAUGAUGUGGAUUAAUUCGAUGCAACGCGAAAACCUUACCUACCCUUGACAUGUCUGGAAUGCCGAAGAGAUUUGGCAGUGCUCGCAAGAGAACCGGAACACAGGUGCUGCAUGGCUGUCGCCAGCUCGUGUCGUGAGAUGUUGGGUUAAGUCCCGCAACGAGCGCAACCCUUGUCAUUAGUUGCUACGAAAGGGCACUCUAAUGAGACUGCCGGUGACAAACCGGAGGAAAGGUGGGGGAUGACGUCAAGUCCUCAUGGCCCUUAUGGGUAGGGCUUCACACGUCAUACAAUGGUCGGGACAGAGGGUCGCCAACCCGCGAGGGGGAGCCAAUCCCAGAAACCCGAUCGUAGUCCGGAUUGCAGGUUGCAACUCGCCUGCAUGAAGUCGGAAUCGCUAGUAAUCGCGGAUCAGCAUGUCGCGGUGAAUACGUUCCCGGGUCUU